rnacentral:rRNA from 1 species
GUGCCAGCCGCUGCGGUAAUACGUAGGGUGCGAGCGUUGUCCGGAAUUACUGGGCGUAAAGAGCUCGUAGGCGGUUUGUCGCGUCGUCUGUGAAAUUCUGCAACUCAAUUGCAGGCGUGCAGGCGAUACGGGCAGACUUGAGUACGUACAGGGGAGACUGGAAUUCCUGGUGUAGCGGUGAAAUGCGCAGAUAUCAGGAGGAACACCCGGUGG